UGAGGAAUAUUGGUCAAUGGGCGGGAGCCUGAACCAGCCAAGUCGCGUGAGGGAAGACGGUCCUAUGGAUUGUUAAAACCUCUUUUGUCGGGGAGCAAAGAGGCCACGUGUGGUCAAAAGCGAGAGUACCCGAACGAAAAAGCAUCGGCUAACUCCGUGCC
rnacentral:rRNA from 1 species